GCUGGUGUGGCUCAGUUGGUUGGAGCAUUGCCCCAUAAACCAAAAGGUCAUGGGUUCAAUUCCCAGUCACAGCA
rnacentral:tRNA from 1 species